rnacentral:misc_RNA from 1 species
GAUGAAGAACUCAGCGAAAUGCGAUAAGUAAUGUGAAUUGCAGAAUUCAGUGAAUCAUCGAAUCUUUGAACGCACAUUGCGCCCGCCAGUAUUCUGGCGGGCAUGCCUGUUCGAGCGUCAUUACAACCCUCAGGCCCCCGGGCCUGGCGUUGGGGAUCGGCGGAAGCCCCCUGCGGGCACAACGCCGUCCCCCAAAUACAGUGGCGGUCCCGCCGCAGCUUCCAUUGCGUAGUAGCUAACACCUCGCAACUGGAGAGCGGCGCGGCCACGCCGUAAAACACCCAACUUCUGAAUGUUGACCUCGAAUCAGGUAGGAAUACCCGCUGAACUUAAGCAUAUCAUAAGCGGAGGA